UACGUAGGUGGCAAGCGUUGUCCGGAUUUAUUGGGUUUAAAGGGUGCGUAGGCGGCCCUGUAAGUCAGUGCUGAAAUAUCCCGGCUUAACCGGGAGGGUGGCAUUGAUACUGCGGGGCUAGAGUACAGAUGAGGUAGGCGGAAUUGACGGUGUAGCGGUGAAAUGCUUAGAUAUCGUCAAGAACACCUAUAGCGAAGGCAGCUUCUAGGCUGUAACUGACGCUGAGGCACGAAAGUGUGGGGAUCAAACAGG
rnacentral:rRNA from 1 species